UACAGAGGGUGCAAGCGUUAAUCGGAAUUACUGGGCGUAAAGCGUGCGUAGACGGUUAUGUAAGUCAGGUGUGAAAGCCCAGGGCUCAACCUUGGAAUUGCAUUUGAGACUGCAUAGCUAGGGUGCGGAAGAGGGAAGCGGAAUUUCCGGUGUAGCGGUGAAAUGCGUAGAUAUCGGAAGGAACACCUGUGGCGAAGGCGGCCCCCCUGGUUGGAUACUGACGCUGAUACGCGAAAGCGUGGGGAGCAAACAGG
rnacentral:rRNA from 1 species